CGGCGAAGCCACCGUGUGGGUCUUCUCCACUGCGCGCCCGCUAGAUCUUCGGCGCUUGGGAUAUAAACCCCUGGUGCCACCUCUCCCAGCUCUCGGUCGAGGGUGCGCGCUGAACCGCGUUCCUUUGUUAGCGCCGCCGAUUGGAGAGAGAUAAGAGCGUCGCCGAGUGCCAUAUUCCGAGCCUGGCUGCCGCGUAGUGAGGUGUGUGUGAGAGAAAGCUGGUAGUCGGUCGCCGCUGCUAUCCUUGACCGGCGCGUGGUGGCGGGUGAUCCCCGGGAUCGGAUUUGGUGCUGCUGUGGUGGCCACUUGCGUCGGUCACAGUAGCCCCGGGGAGGAAGCCGCUGUGCGCAUACCCGCUUCGCCGUUUGUUGUGUGUGCCGCGUCGUGCGAUUGGGGGCCUGACCGUGGGUGCCAUCUUCGUCGGGUUCUUCGGCCGCCACUGCUGGGCGGAAGGAAGACCCUCGUCGAGAACCGAAAACCUGCGCGUGGGAGAGGGCCGCCAACCUCGAUCUCGCGAUGGGCCGAUGCUGGGUUGCGG
rnacentral:lncRNA from 7 species